GGCAGCCGCGGUAAUUCCAGCUCCAAUAGCGUAUAUUAAAGUUGUUGCAGUUAAAAAGCUCGUAGUUGAAUUUCGAGAUCAAAUUGUUGGUCGUGCCUUGGUACGCACUGGCAUUAUUGGUUUCUCCCUUCUGACGAACCAUGAUGUCAUUAAUUUGGUGUCUUGGGGAAUCAGGACUGUUACUUUGAAAAAAUUAGAGUGUUUAAAGCAGGCUCACGCUUGAAUACAUUAGCAUGGAAUAAUGAAAUAGGACGUUUGAUUCUAUUUUGUUGGUUUCUAGGAUCGACGUAAUGAUUAAUAGGGAUAGUUGGGGGCAUUAGUAUUCAAUUGUCAGAGGUGAAAUUCUUGGAUUUAUUGAAGACUAACUACUGCGAAAGCAUUUGCCAAGGAUGUUUUCAUUAAUCAAGAACGAAAGUUGAGGGGAUCGAAGACGAUCAGAUACCGUCGUAGUCUUAACCAUAAACUAUGCCGACUAGGGAUCGGAUGAUGUUAAUUUUUUAAUGACUCAUUCGGCGCCUUA
rnacentral:misc_RNA from 1 species